rnacentral:rRNA from 1 species
UACAGAGGGGGCGAGCGUUGUUCGGAAUUACUGGGCGUAAAGGGCGCGUAGGCGGCCCGCUAAGUCGAACGUGAAAUCCCCAGGCUCAACCUGGGAACUGCGUCCGAUACUGGCAGGCUUGAAUCCGGGAGAGGGAUGUGGAAUUCCAGGUGUAGCGGUGAAAUGCGUAGAUAUCAGGAGGAACACCAAUGGCGAAGGCAGCUCGCUGGGACGGUACUGACGCUGAGACGCGAAAGCGUGGGGAGCAAACAGG